GUGAGGGCAAUCUGGCUGUGACAUCUCUUAACCCAUUGACCACCAGGGUUGAUUAGGCUUAUCUGACUGGCUAGGCGGGUGUCCCCCUUGGUCUAAAAGGAUGGCCUUCCCCAAUAGAGGAGGGCUGGUCUUCUGUCAAGGGUAUAUGAGUAGCUCUGCUCCCCUACUAGAACCUCCAAACAAACUCUCAACCACUCUUCUAUUAAACCAUACACCUGAAAUUUUUCUUUAAAAUAGUGGAGAUGCAGGAAGUUGGAUAUUGUUUCU
rnacentral:snRNA from 1 species